UACAGAGGGGGCAAGCGUUGUUCGGAAUUACUGGGCGUAAAGGGCGCGUAGGCGGCCCGCUAAGUCGAACGUGAAAUCCCCAGGCUCAACCUGGGAACUGCGUCCGAUACUGGCAGGCUUGAAUCCGGGAGAGGGAUGUGGAAUUCCAGGUGUAGCGGUGAAAUGCGUAGAUAUCGGGAGGAACACCAGUGGCGAAGGCGACUACCUGGCCUGUUCUUGACGCUGAGGCGCGAAAGCUAGGGGAGCAAACGGG
rnacentral:rRNA from 1 species